UUAAGCGACUAAGCGUACACGGUGGAUGCCCUGGCAGUCAGAGGCGAUGAAGGACGUGCUAAUCUGCGAAAAGCGUCGGUAAGGUGAUAUGAACCGUUAUAACCGGCGAUGUCCGAAUGGGGAAACCCAGUGCAAUUCGUUGCACUAUCGUUAACUGAAUACAUAGGUUAACGAGGCGAACCGGGGGAACUGAAACAUCUAAGUACCCCGAGGAAAAGAAAUCAACCGAGAUUCCCCCAGUAGCGGCGAGCGAACGGGGAGCAGCCCAGAGUCUGAAUCAGCUUGUGUGUUAGUGGAACGGUCUGGAAAGUCCGACGGUACAGGGUGAUAGUCCCGUACACCAAAAUGCACAGGCUGUGAACUCGAAGAGUAGGGCGGGACACGUGGUAUCCUGUCUGAAUAUGGGGGGACCAUCCUCCAAGGCUAAAUACUCCUGACUGACCGAUAGUGAACCAGUACCGUGAGGGAAAGGCGAAAAGAACCCCGGCGAGGGGAGUGAAAAAGAACCUGAAACCGUGUACGUACAAGCAGUGGGAGCACCUUCGGGUGUGACUGCGUACCUUUUGUAUAAUGGGUCAGCGACUUAUAUUCUGUAGCAAGGUUAACCGUAUAGGGGAGCCGCAGGGAAACCGAGUCUUAACUGGGCGUUAAGUUGCAGGGUAUAGACCCGAAACCCGGUGAUCUAGCCAUGGGCAGGUUGAAGGUUGGGUAACACUAACUGGAGGACCGAACCGACUAAUGUUGAAAAAUUAGCGGAUGACUUGUGGCUGGGGGUGAAAGGCCAAUCAAACCGGGAGAUAGCUGGUUCUCCCCGAAAGCUAUUUAGGUAGCGCCUCGUGAAUUCAUCUUCGGGGGUAGAGCACUGUUUCGGCUAGGGGGUCAUCCCGACUUACCAACCCGAUGCAAACUACGAAUACCGAAGAAUGUUAUCACGGGAGACACACGGCGGGUGCUAACGUCCGUCGUGAAGAGGGAAACAACCCAGACCGCCAGCUAAGGUCCCAAAGUCAUGGUUAAGUGGGAAACGAUGUGGGAAGGCACAGACAGCCAGGAUGUUGGCUUAGAAGCAGCCAUCAUUUAAAGAAAGCGUAAUAGCUCACUGGUCGAGUCGGCCUGCGCGGAAGAUGUAACGGGGCUAAACCAUGCACCGAAGCUGCGGCAGCGACGCUUAUGCGUUGUUGGGUAGGGGAGCGUUCUGUAAGCCGUUGAAGGUGUGCUGUGAGGCAUGCUGGAGGUAUCAGAAGUGCGAAUGCUGACAUAAGUAACGAUAAAGCGGGUGAAAAGCCCGCUCGCCGGAAGACCAAGGGUUCCUGUCCAACGUUAAUCGGGGCAGGGUGAGUCGACCCCUAAGGCGAGGCCGAAAGGCGUAGUCGAUGGGAAACAGGUUAAUAUUCCUGUACUUGGUGUUACUGCGAAGGGGGGACGGAGAAGGCUAUGUUAGCCGGGCGACGGUUGUCCCGGUUUAAGCAUGUAGGCUGGUUGUCCAGGCAAAUCCGGAUAAUCAAGGCUGAGGUGUGAUGACGAGGCACUACGGUGCUGAAGUAACAAAUGCCCUGCUUCCAGGAAAAGCCUCUAAGCAUCAGGUAACAUCAAAUCGUACCCCAAACCGACACAGGUGGUCAGGUAGAGAAUACCAAGGCGCUUGAGAGAACUCGGGUGAAGGAACUAGGCAAAAUGGUGCCGUAACUUCGGGAGAAGGCACGCUGGUGUGUAGGUGAAGUCCCUGCGGAUGGAGCUGAGACCAGUCGAAGAUACCAGCUGGCUGCAACUGUUUAUUAAAAACACAGCACUGUGCAAACACGAAAGUGGACGUAUACGGUGUGACGCCUGCCCGGUGCCGGAAGGUUAAUUGAUGGGGUUAUCCGUAAGGAGAAGCUCUUGAUCGAAGCCCCGGUAAACGGCGGCCGUAACUAUAACGGUCCUAAGGUAGCGAAAUUCCUUGUCGGGUAAGUUCCGACCUGCACGAAUGGCGUAAUGAUGGCCAGGCUGUCUCCACCCGAGACUCAGUGAAAUUGAACUCGCUGUGAAGAUGCAGUGUACCCGCGGCAAGACGGAAAGACCCCGUGAACCUUUACUAUAGCUUGACACUGAACAUUGAGCCUUGAUGUGUAGGAUAGGUGGGAGGCUUUGAAGUGUGGACGCCAGUCUGCAUGGAGCCGACCUUGAAAUACCACCCUUUAAUGUUUGAUGUUCUAACGUUGACCCGUAAUCCGGGUUGCGGACAGUGUCUGGUGGGUAGUUUGACUGGGGCGGUCUCCUCCCAAAGAGUAACGGAGGAGCACGAAGGUUAGCUAAUCCUGGUCGGACAUCAGGAGGUUAGUGCAAUGGCAUAAGCUAGCUUGACUGCGAGCGUGACGGCGCGAGCAGGUGCGAAAGCAGGUCAUAGUGAUCCGGUGGUUCUGAAUGGAAGGGCCAUCGCUCAACGGAUAAAAGGUACUCCGGGGAUAACAGGCUGAUACCGCCCAAGAGUUCAUAUCGACGGCGGUGUUUGGCACCUCGAUGUCGGCUCAUCACAUCCUGGGGCUGAAGUAGGUCCCAAGGGUAUGGCUGUUCGCCAUUUAAAGUGGUACGCGAGCUGGGUUUAGAACGUCGUGAGACAGUUCGGUCCCUAUCUGCCGUGGGCGCUGGAGAAUUGAGGGGGGCUGCUCCUAGUACGAGAGGACCGGAGUGGACGCAUCACUGGUGUUCGGGUUGUCAUGCCAAUGGCACUGCCCGGUAGCUAAAUGCGGAAGAGAUAAGUGCUGAAAGCAUCUAAGCACGAAACUUGCCCCGAGAUGAGUUCUCCCUGAGACUUUAAGUCUCCUGAAGGAACGUUAAAGACGAUGACGUUGAUAGGCCGGGUGUGUAAGCGCAGCGAUGCGUUGAGCUAACCGGUACUAAUGAACCGUGAGGCUUAACCUU
rnacentral:rRNA from 1 species